rnacentral:rRNA from 1 species
AUGAACGCUAGCUACAGGCUUAACACAUGCAAGUCGAGGGGCAGCAUGAACUUAGCUUGCUAAGUUUGAUGGCGACCGGCGCACGGGUGAGUAACACGUAUCCAACCUGCCGAUGACUCGGGGAUAGCCUUUCGAAAGAAAGAUUAAUACCCGAUGGCAUAGUUCUUCCGCAUGGUAGAACUAUUAAAGAAUUUCGGUCAUCGAUGGGGAUGCGUUCCAUUAGGUUGUUGGCGGGGUAACGGCCCACCAAGCCUUCGAUGGAUAGGGGUUCUGAGAGGAAGGUCCCCCACAUUGGAACUGAGACACGGUCCAAACUCCUACGGGAGGCAGCAGUGAGGAAUAUUGGUCAAUGGACGAGAGUCUGAACCAGCCAAGUAGCGUGAAGGAUGACUGCCCUAUGGGUUGUAAACUUCUUUUAUACGGGAAUAAAGUGAGGCACGUGUGCCUUUUUGUAUGUACCGUAUGAAUAAGGAUCGGCUAACUCCGUGCCAGCAGCCGCGGUAAUACGGAGGAUCCGAGCGUUAUCCGGAUUUAUUGGGUUUAAAGGGAGCGUAGGCGGACGCUUAAGUCAGUUGUGAAAGUUUGCGGCUCAACCGUAAAAUUGCAGUUGAUACUGGGUGUCUUGAGUACAGUAGAGGCAGGCGGAAUUCGUGGUGUAGCGGUGAAAUGCUUAGAUAUCACGAAGAACUCCGAUUGCGAAGGCAGCUUGCUGGACUGUAACUGACGCUGAUGCUCGAAAGUGUGGGUAUCAAACAGGAUUAGAUACCCUGGUAGUCCACACAGUAAACGAUGAAUACUCGCUGUUUGCGAUAUACAGUAAGCGGCCAAGCGAAAGCGUUAAGUAUUCCACCUGGGGAGUACGCCGGCAACGGUGAAACUCAAAGGAAUUGACGGGGGCCCGCACAAGCGGUGGAGCAUGUGGUUUAAUUCGAAGCAACGCGAAGAACCUUACCAAGUCUUGACAUCCCUUGACGAUGCUGGAAACAGUAUUUCUCUUCGGAGCAAGGAGACAGGUGGUGCAUGGUUGUCGUCAGCUCGUGCCGUGAGGUGUCGGCUUAAGUGCCAUAACGAGCGCAACCCUUAUCGAUAGUUACCAUCAGGUGAUGCUGGGGACUCUGUCGAGACUGCCGUCGUAAGAUGUGAGGAAGGUGGGGAUGACGUCAAAUCAGCACGGCCCUUACGUCCGGGGCUACACACGUGUUACAAUGGGGGGUACAGAAGGCAGCUACACGGCGACGUGAUGCUAAUCCCUAAAGCCUCUCUCAGUUCGGAUUGGAGUCUGCAACCCGACUCCAUGAAGCUGGAUUCGCUAGUAAUCGCGCAUCAGCCACGGCGCGGUGAAUACGUUCCCGGGCCUUGUACACACCGCCCGUCAAGCCAUGAAAGCCGGGGGUACCUGAAGUGCGUAACCGCAAGGAGCGCCCUAGGGUAAAACUGGUGAUUGGGGCU